GUUGGUUUCAGGUUGUAAUUAGCAGAUCUCCGGAACCAUACUGCCUUAACCAACCCAAUUUUCCUGCUGUCCUGCUAUUACCCUAGGGUUACUGGAAUCGUGUUUUGAGGUGCUGCCUCAGAUUGUGCAGUGCAGUGAGGUGGAGAUUUUAAAAUGUUCAUCCUAUUCAUUCUGUCAUCUGACGUCUAGGCAGGCUAUAGACUUCAACAUCCCUGCAGCCAACCCCCCUCCAACUGACACCGCCCCAAACAUAAGUACCAGUUCAACACAGUCCUCAGUCUCACCCAGGACUUUCUGUGUUUUGUUGCUUAGAUUUUAUUGCUUAUAUUGUUGUUUUUUCUUUCUUUCUUUUUCUCUUCUAUAAUUUUCCAGAGUUGAUUUGGGAACCAGAGAACAGCAGCCUAAGUGUGACUGUAAUUUUUGGCAGCUACAGCUACACAAUCCAUGGCAUUUUGUUAUGGAAGUCAAAGCUAACUAAGACAUAACCCCAGAUUCCCAAGACAACUAGGAAGGGAAAAGGAACCCUUCAAGGAAGUUCCAGGAAAAACGUCUCUCCCAAAAAGACCACCGCUUCAGGAAAACCUGAGGAAGGGAGUGGGCCAACAGUAUCCUGCCACUGUGACCAGCUGAACGAGGAACUCCAUCAAAAUGAGCCACAGCUGGACCAAAACAGUGAGGAGACCUCCACCUUCUUCAGUGUCUCCCUGAGCAGUCAGUAAUUUCAGGGCAAGCUGAGAGGUCUCCAGAGGUCUAACCCCAGAUAAAUAGCCAACAGGGUCUAGAGUACAUUUUAUACCCAACAGGGUAUACCCCAUGGUGAUCAAAAUAAAAUAAACCUGUUGUAAAAUGA
ensembl:lncRNA MAGEA4-AS1 MAGEA4 antisense RNA 1